rnacentral:rRNA from 1 species
UAGGGAAUCUUCGGCAAUGGGGGGAACCCUGACCGAGCAACGCCGCGUGAGUGAAGAAGGUUUUCGGAUCGUAAAGCUCUGUUGUUAAGGAAGAACGAGUGUGAGAAUGGAAAGUUCAUGCUGUGACGGUACUUAACCAGAAAGGGACGGCUAACUACGUGCCAGCAGCCGCGGUAAUACGUAGGUCCCGAGCGUUGUCCGGAUUUAUUGGGCGUAAAGCGAGCGCAGGCGGUUAGAAAAGUCUGAAGUGAAAGGCAGUGGCUCAACCAUUGUAGGCUUUGGAAACUGUUUAAAUUGAGUGCAGAAGGGAAGGGUGGAAUUCCAUAUGUAGCGGUGAAAUGCGGAGAUAUAUGGAGGAACACCGGUGGCGAGAGCGGCUCUCUGGUCUGUAACUGACGCAGAGGCUCGAAAGCGUGGGGAGCGAACAGG